GGCCGCAAGGUUAAAACUCAAAUGAAUUGACGGGGGCCCGCACAAGCGGUGGAGCAUGUGGUUUAAUUCGAUGCAACGCGAAGAACCUUACCUGGUCUUGACAUCCACAGAACUUUCCAGAGAUGGAUUGGUGCCUUCGGGAACUGUGAGACAGGUGCUGCAUGGCUGUCGUCAGCUCGUGUUGUGAAAUGUUGGGUUAAGUCCCGCAACGAGCGCAACCCUUAUCCUUUGUUGCCAGCGAUUAGGUCGGGAACU
rnacentral:rRNA from 1 species